CCUGGCUCAGGAUGAACGCUAGCUACAGGCUUAACACAUGCAAGUCGAGGGGCAGCAUGGUCUUAGCUUGCUAAGGCCGAUGGCGACCGGCGCACGGGUGAGUAACACGUAUCCAACCUGCCGUCUACUCUUGGACAGCCUUCUGAAAGGAAGAUUAAUACAAGAUGGCAUCAUGAGUCCGCAUGUUCACAUGAUUAAAGGUAUUCCGGUAGACGAUGGGGAUGCGUUCCAUUAGAUAGUAGGCGGGGUAACGGCCCACCUAGUCUUCGAUGGAUAGGGGUUCUGAGAGGACGGUCCCCCACAUUGGAACUGAGACACGGUCCAAACUCCUACGGGAGGCAGCAGUGAGGAAUAUUGGUCAAUGGGCGAGAGCCUGAACCAGCCAAGUAGCGUGAAGGAUGACUGCCCUAUGGGUUGUAAACUUCUUUUAUAAAGGAAUAAAGUCGGGUAUGGAUACCCGUUUGCAUGUACUUUAUGAAUAAGGAUCGGCUAACUCCGUGCCAGCAGCCGCGGUAAUACGGAGGAUCCGAGCGUUAUCCGGAUUUAUUGGGUUUAAAGGGAGCGUAGAUGGAUGUUUAAGUCAGUUGUGAAAGUUUGCGGCUCAACCGUAAAAUUGCAGUUGAUACUGGAUAUCUUGAGUGCAGUUGAGGCAGGCGGAAUUCGUGGUGUAGCGGUGAAAUGCUUAGAUAUCACGAAGAACUCCGAUUGCGAAGGCAGCCUGCUAAGCUGCAACUGACAUUGAGGCUCGAAAGUGUGGGUAUCAAACAGGAUUAGAUACCCUGGUAGUCCACACGGUAAACGAUGAAUACUCGCUGUUUGCGAUAUACUGCAAGCGGCCAAGCGAAAGCGUUAAGUAUUCCACCUGGGGAGUACGCCGGCAACGGUGAAACUCAAAGGAAUUGACGGGGGCCCGCACAAGCGGAGGAACAUGUGGUUUAAUUCGAUGAUACGCGAGGAACCUUACCCGGGCUUAAAUUGCAGAUGAAUUACGGUGAAAGCCGUAAGCCGCAAGGCAUCUGUGAAGGUGCUGCAUGGUUGUCGUCAGCUCGUGCCGUGAGGUGUCGGCUUAAGUGCCAUAACGAGCGCAACCCUUGUUGUCAGUUACUAACAGGUUCCGCUGAGGACUCUGACAAGACUGCCAUCGUAAGAUGUGAGGAAGGUGGGGAUGACGUCAAAUCAGCACGGCCCUUACGUCCGGGGCUACACACGUGUUACAAUGGGGGGUACAGAGGGCCGCUACCACGCGAGUGGAUGCCAAUCCCCAAAACCUCUCUCAGUUCGGACUGGAGUCUGCAACCCGACUCCACGAAGCUGGAUUCGCUAGUAAUCGCGCAUCAGCCACGGCGCGGUGAAUACGUUCCCGGGCCUAGUACACACCGCC
rnacentral:rRNA from 1 species